UACGUAGGGGGCAAGCGUUGUCCGGAAUCAUUGGGCGUAAAGAGCGUGUAGGCGGCCCGAUAAGUCCGCUGUGAAAGUCCAGGGCUCAACCCUGGGAUGCCGGUGGAUACUGUCGGGCUCGAGUCCGGAAGAGGAGAGUGGAAUUCCUGGUGUAGCGGUGAAAUGCGCAGAUAUCAGGAAGAACACCCGUGGCUAAGGCGGCUCUCUAGUACGGUACUGACGCUGAGACGCGAAAGCGUGGGGAGCGAACAGG
rnacentral:rRNA from 1 species